CCUACGGGUGGCAGCAGUGAGGAAUAUUGGUCAAUGGGCUUACGCCUGAACCAGCCAAGUCGCGUGAGGGAAGACUGCCCUAUGGGUUGUAAACCUCUUUUGUCAGGGAGCAACGCCGGCUACGUGUAGCCGGACUGAGAGUACCUGAAGAAAAAGCAUCGGCUAACUCCGUGCCAGCAGCCGCGGUAAUACGGAGGAUGCGAGCGUUAUCCGGAUUUAUUGGGUUUAAAGGGUGCGUAGGCGGAAUGCCAAGUCAGCGGUAAAAUCGCGGGGCUCAACCUCGCUCCGCCGUUGAAACUGGGGGCCGUGAGUGCGGCGGAGGCAUGCGGAAUGUGCGGUGUAGCGGUGAAAUGCAUAGAUAUCGCGCAGAACCCCGAUUGCGAAGGCAGCGUGCCGUGCCGCCACUGACGCUGAGGCACGAAAGCGCGGGGAUCGAACAGGAUUAGAUACCCUUGUAGUC
rnacentral:rRNA from 1 species